rnacentral:rRNA from 1 species
GUAGGUGGCAAGCGUUGUCCGGAAUUAUUGGGCGUAAAGCGCGCGCAGGCGGUCCUUUAAGUCUGAUGUGAAAGCCCACGGCUCAACCGUGGAGGGUCAUUGGAAACUGGGGGACUUGAGUACAGAAGAGGAAAGCGGAAUUCCAAGUGUAGCGGUGAAAUGCGUAGAGAUUUGGAGGAACACCAGUGGCGAAGGCGGCUUCCUGGUCUGUAACUGACGCUGAGGCGCGAAAGCGUGGGGAGCAAACAGGGAUUAGAUACCCUGGUAGUCCACGCCGUAAACGAUGAGUGCUAAGUGUUAGGGGGUUUCCCGCCCCUUAGUGCUGCAGCUAACGCAUUAAGCACUCCGCCUGGGGAUACGGCCGCAAGGCUG